UGCACACAUGACUGUAAGUCGCUCUAGAUAAAAGCGCCUGCUAAAUAGCAUUUA
rfam:Salmo salar isolate Sally breed double haploid chromosome ssa01, whole genome shotgun sequence.